rnacentral:rRNA from 1 species
UACGUAGGGUGCAAGCGUUGUCCGGAAUCAUUGGGCGUAAAGCGCGUGUAGGCGGUCCGGUAAGUCCGCUGUGAAAGUCGGGGGCUCAACCCUCGGAUGCCGGUGGAUACUGUCGGGCUAGAGUCCGGAAGAGGCGAGUGGAAUUCCUGGUGUAGCGGUGAAAUGCGCAGAUAUUGGGAGGAACACCAAUGGCGAAGGCAGCACCCUGGGCCGGUACUGACGCUGAGGAGCGAAAGCGUGGGGAGCAAACUGG